UUCAUGUAGUUUGUAUGGAAUGGGAUCGUUUGCGUACGUUUGCCGCUAGGGGCGCUGUUCCAACUGCAUACAAAAUUGGGUUA
rnacentral:pre_miRNA from 1 species